GGAUGGAUGUAAUGCACACAUUAUCUUAUAUUGUUUUGUAUGAUAUAUGCAAAUAAUUUAUGGCCCAAUAUUUUUUUUUUUGGAUUAAAUAGUGUGUCCUUUUGACUUGUGAAAUGGGUGUUGAAUUAUAGAUUUAUCUCGUUGCAAAGAUUGUUGUAUUUCUCCAUACAAUAGGACCAUUAACAAAUUAAUUGUCUUUAUGAUUGGAUGAAAUUAUUGUAUUUUAAGUUGCAGCGAUAGUAGUGUGUUGGUAGAUUUGAGUCUCAUAUAUGUUAUUGUGUACAUGUGAACAUGCAGGAGUGCUACUGCUAGCUAACUCUAGUUUUGCGGAUAAAUGGAUCAUUUUAUGCUGUUUUGGAUGAGUCUCAAUGAUUGGCG
rnacentral:lncRNA from 1 species